CAUCUCACCACCAACAACCCGCGCUGCUUGAGUCACGCUCGCGCAGACGGUGGCAGCUCGGAACAAGUUCAACUUCUUAAAGUUUCUCGAUCGGACGCCCACGGUCGUGUUGUGAGGCAUCGAUCGAGCUCCAGCAUGAAGCUCCUGUGGCGGAUCAUCUCCUUAGCGCUCUUCUUGCAGCUUGUCAGUGCUACAGACCUUCAGUGCACCGUCACCCGGGACGCAGACAGAACCCAUUACAGUGUCCCACAGUUCACUGGAGAAGCCUGUGACUUCCGCUGGUGGAACCAGACGAACUUGGCCAAUCCCAGCGGGCAUAGUGAGCAGGUUGCGAGGAGCAGCAACCGGAGCCUUGACACCUACCAGUGCUUCCCCCAGAUGUUCUACAGCAGAACCUGCAGCGAUGGGGUGAACCAAGUCGCUACCUGCACCUGAGAAAGAGCGGCCGCGGCUCCCCCCACACUGACAGCACCGAGGAAGUUCUUGCCAUUGUGUGAAGAUGCCAAUGCUACCAGAAAUAUUCCACUUUACUUUUAAACACUUUAUCUCCAUUUACUCUGCACAUGAAUUUUAGCUUAAUAUAUAUUUCUAUAUGACUAACUUUGCCCUAUUUUUCCAUUUAAGAACUUAUUGGGGUCCAAAUAUGGCCCUGUGGUGUUCCCUUUGUGGUCAGGGUUUUUUUCCCAAAGGAACUUUCCUCCCUCCCAUGGGUAU
ensembl:lncRNA